rnacentral:tRNA from 1 species
GGGCCGUUAGCUCAGUUGGUAGAGCACCUGACUUUUAAUCAGGUGGUCGCAGGUUCGAGACCUGCACGGCUCACCA